UCCGGCUUACACCGGCGGUCUCCUGUGAGUCCCCGACUUUACUCGCUGGUAACACAGGACGAGGGUUGCGCUCGUUGGCGGACUUAACCGUACACCUCACGGCACGAGCUGACGACAGCCAUGCAACAAGUGUCUUCGGGUCGGCUUGUGGCCGAGGACCCCCUUUCAGGGGCUUUCCCUCGAUGUCAAGCCUGGGUAAGGUUCUUCGGUUAGUAUCGAAUUAAUCCACAUGCUCCACCGCUUGUGCGGGUCCCCGUCAAUUCAUUUGAGUUUCAACCUUGCGGCCGUACUCCCCAGGCGGGAUACUUAGUGCGUUAGCUGCGGCACUGGAGGGGUCGAUACCUCCAACGCCUAGUAUCCAUCGUUUAGGGCGUGGACUAC
rnacentral:misc_RNA from 1 species